rnacentral:rRNA from 1 species
GAUUGAACGCUGGCGGCAGGCCUAACACAUGCAAGUCGAGCGGCAGCACGGGUACUUGUACCUGGUGGCGAGCGGCGGACGGGUGAGUAAUGCCUAGGAAUCUGCCUGGUAGUGGGGGAUAACGCUCGGAAACGGACGCUAAUACCGCAUACGUCCUACGGGAGAAAGCAGGGGANCUUCGGGCCUUGCGCUAUCAGAUGAGCCUAGGUCGGAUUAGCUAGUUGGUGAGGUAAUGGCUCACCAAGGCGACGAUCCGUAACUGGUCUGAGAGGAUGAUCAGUCACACUGGAACUGAGACACGGUCCAGACUCCUACGGGAGGCAGCAGUGGGGAAUAUUGGACAAUGGGCGAAAGCCUGAUCCAGCCAUGCCGCGUGUGUGAAGAAGGUCUUCGGAUUGUAAAGCACUUUAAGUUGGGAGGAAGGGCAGUUACCUAAUACGUAAUUGUUUUGACG